GUUUGCCUCCGUUUUCUUAUCCAUAAGGUGCAUAUGCUCAGACCACCUACUUCAUAGGGUUGCAAUAAGGAUAAAACCCAAUAGCAACAGCUGACACUGAGCACUUCACAUAAAUUAACACAGUUAAUCCCAUGACGACACAAUGAGUUAGCCCCCGUUUUACAAGCGAGAAAACUGAGGCGCAAGGAGGUUAAGCAACUUGUGCAAGAUCAAACGACUAGUAGUGGAGAUACUGAGACCAACCCGGGUGCUGUGGCCCCCAGGACCUACCCCGUCAGCAGCACACACACUGUCCGACACACAAGAGGCCCCAAACAUAUGUCUUGGGUGUAUCCAAAAGUCCCUGUCUGUGCUCUGGGAGAGCUCGUUCCUCUAGUUGCCACCACAUUCCACAGCCUGCAGGAGUCCUCAAGCCUCCCCCUGGUUUCUGCUAGUUCCAGAGUGGGGUGUGGAGGAAAAGGUGCUUUCAUUAGACCUAUUUUAUGAGGAUGGGAUGAGAAACCCAGGGCUCACAGAUGAACUGCAUUUUGCCCAAGGGCACAAAGCCUUUAAAGGCUUGAAAUCGCUUUACACCCCCACCUACCAUGGCUCUGCAUAGGGCCUAGAUGACUCGGGUUCUGAGUGGAGUUUCCCAGAGGACAGAGAAGCAGGUUGGUGAGAAAGGGAGGUGCUCCAGGGGGAUGGCAGAGCUGGGAGCAAGAUGGACAGAGGGGCCUAGCUGGCUGGCCACUGUCCAAACCUGGGUCUCUGUCUCUGAUGUGUACCAGUGUGUGUGUGUCCACACGUGGCUGUGGACAAGGACCAGUGAGGUGGGAAACCAGCAUUGAGCAGCACAGGUCAAGAACUAACCUCCCACCUCCUGAUUCAAGCAGCUCAGAGAGCCGGCUGCUGUCAUAGAGGGCGUCUAAGCGCCUGCAUCCGUCAGCCAGCCGUCAUCACAGCCCACCCUCAGGUCACGAAUCAGCAGCUCCACUCACCUCCUGCCAGCAAGCGCUCCCAGGCCAGCUCUGUCACUGGUCGCUGAGCCUUUGGAAAAUGCAACCCUGUCAGCCCUCACUCUGAGGCAAGAUGGCUCAUGUUUCAGUGUGUGCGGGAGCAUGCCAGCACAUGAUGCACACGUUGUACCCACAGAUAUGUUUGCACCUGUGGGCAUAACACAGACAUGUUCACAGCUAUACACACAGAGCGUAUCCCUGCAGGUCUGCAGAUGUGGACACAUGCCAGCAUGCCAUGCAUGCACGGGAGGCAAGCUCUCGUGUGCACCCGUGUUUGUCCUCAGAGCAUACGCAUGCCUGCCGUAGACAACUUCUCUUACAUGCAUGUUCAUGUUUGUCCACUGGUACUCUUCAAUAAGCAACAUAUUUUCCUAUUCAGGCAUAUACUCAUACACAUUCACCAACAUAGGUGUGUCCCCAGAAACUCCCACGCAAAUACACAGCACAUAUUUGUGUAUACCCUCAGGGGUUCUUCUGCGCAUGAGUAUAUGGCACCAUGCACUCAUUCUUAAUCAUAUGCACAUUUGUAUGCACGCACAGGAAAGCAAACGAAACCUCAGGAGCAGUCCCUUACAAACUCCAAAUUAACGUGCAUGAUCCCAUAGAUGUGUUUGUACAUGUGAGCACAGGUCUGUGUGUAUGAACGUAAUCUACAUGAUCACUACAAGCACCUGAACAAACAGCCAUCCUCCAACAAAUGCUCAGAUCUGCACCAAGCACUCACACACAUGCAGUGGUAUACGUGCAUCUGCCUGUCUCCAUGUAGGUACCUCAACUUCCAGUCAACGUGUCCUCAGGCGCUUAAUCACCUCUGUCCAUGUGCACUUUUAGGCAGGCCCAGCACAGUUCACCCACAGCCAUGCCCCAUGUGCCACUCAACCCCGCAGACAAGCACGCACACAGACACAUGCCUCCAAAGCCCAUCUCCUACACGUGUGCGGAGUCAAAUCCCUAGCACGUGGCUGCACACACACCCUCUCUGGGGCACAGCAUGCCCAUCCCCAGGUCAUCAGGUGUGCUGGGGAUGGAAGGAAUGGUGCCCACACGCAGAAAUCGCCACUCACGCAGAAUUGUAUCUGCCGCAAACUUCUCAUCUGCUGUGCAAAUGAUGAUUAAAUGUUAUUGUGCAAGAGAAAA